rnacentral:rRNA from 1 species
GGGGAAUAUUGGACAAUGGGCGCAAGCCUGAUCCAGCAAUGCCGCGUGGAUGAAGAAGGUUUUCGGAUUGUAAAGUCCUUUCGGCGGGGACGAUGAUGACGGUACCCGCAGAAGAAGCCCCGGCUAACUUCGUGCCAGCAGCCGCGGUAAUACGAAGGGGGCUAGCGUUGCUCGGAAUGACUGGGCGUAAAGGGCGCGUAGGCGGUUUGGUGAGUUAGACGUGAAAUUCCUGGGCUCAACCUGGGGACUGCGUUUAGUACGGCCAGACUAGAGUGUGGAAGAGGGUCGUGGAAUUCCCAGUGUAGAGGUGAAAUUCGUAGAUAUUGGGAAGAACACCGGUGGCGAAGGCGGCGACCUGGUCCAUAACUGACGCUGAGGCGCGAAAGCGUGGGGAGCAAA